CAAGGGUCACAAACGCUGGCAACGGUCUCCUUUCGGGAGGUUUCUAGAGUGCGGGCACCUAGCUAAAGCAGCUUCCUCAGUAUGCUGCUCCCGCAUGCUCCUGCCGCCCUUCUCGCAACACCCGCCCACCACCACCGCAUCUUCUCCUACGCUCUCGCGCUCCGCCACGACCUUGGUCUGCCACUGCCACCGCUGUCUCGCCGGCUUCACGAGCCUUCUAAAACCUGGCGACGUCGCACUCACUGCUCCUGUGAGCGCACGUCACUGUGCCCGCCCGCCCCGCAUGCCGUGGUUCUGCUCGCGUUGGGCGAAUCGGGGGACGAGGAACCUACGCCGCAUUAUUAUCUCCAACAAUGGUGUCACAGACGCCAGGAAACGUCGUGCUGGCGCAAACUAGAGUGCCAUCCUCCCCCACCCCGCUCAUUUGCAAGGCUGUCGCGGUGCCGACGUGUCCAACCGCACGUCGUGGCACUUAGGCUCUUCCAAUUCCAAAUCGCAAAUGAGGUCUCUCCCUCGCAAAGAGCUACCUCGAAACGAGCUAUCCAGAAUCUGCGAUGUUGAUGUUGAAGUUGCAUUGAGAACUAGCUCCUCAAAGCUGCUAAAGUCGAAGGGCUCAACCCAAAACUCAAAGAACUGUCAAAACAAAACAUCCACAGCUGCACUAUGAAUCUAGUGCUCAAACACUAUUACAGAGUGAAAGUAAGUGGAUUGAGAUUUAUAUGUUUAUUUACAAUGAUCCAUAACCGCACCUUGUGACUGCUUAUUUUUAAGCCACUGAUUUUUUUGAAGUAUAGAUGAUAUCCCACACCUCAAGUGGUAUGGUGUCGAUGAGGAGUACCAUGUUAUGGUGAUUGAUCUUCUUGGCCCAAUCUUAGAAAAAUUGUUUACUUCCUGUAAUAGGAAAUUUUCUAUGAAAACAAUACUUAUGCUUACUGAUCAACCAUCGAGUUCAUCCAUUCCAUAUUCCAUAGUCAACUUUCUGAAAUUUGAUACCAGCUUAUAGUCAGAAAGCUAAUCAAGUUUGAUCAACCCCUGUAUUUUGCUUAUGUUGUUUUCAGUAUAAACAGAACAUAGUAGUUACUUCUCUAAUAUUAACAAUGUCUAGUAAUAAAUCCCAAGAUUCUCGUUCGUCAAUAAGCAAUGGUAAUAACAUAUCUCAUUUUUAUUCUAUAGAUCUAUAUCAUCGAUUAUGGACUUGCUAAGAAAUACAAGGACCUUUAGACUCAUAAACACAUCUCAUACAGGUGAAUCAUAGUAAGGAAGUUUUCAUUUAGAACCCAGACUGGACUAAUUUCCGGUAAUAAACCCCAAAAUUCUUAUUCAUCAAUAAACAAUAGUAAAAACAUAUAUCCUUUUUAUUCUACGGGUCUUUAUAAUUGAUUAUGGUCUUUCUAAGAAAAACAAGACCUUCAUACUCAAACACACCACAUACAGGUGAAGCAUAUUAAUGAAGUUUUGACUUAGAACUGGGAGACUUCAUUGUGCCACACAAUUAUUCUAUUAAAUAGCAAGUUCGUAAGCAGAAACUGGUAUGCGAGAAUUCACACAACCUCUAUACUGCACCUGUCUAUGUCACAGCUUCUUACAUUAUCUCUAGAGACACUGGCUAAUGGUACAUUAUUGGGGUAAUCCAAAAGGUUAUGUGGAUUCAAUAUAGUACCAAAUCGUGGUACAUAGAGGCAACCUGAAUGGAUUGUUUGACUGUAUGUCAUUUACAUGUAAAUAUCAGAAAUAAAACGAAUGCUCUUUGACGACUUAUGCUCGUGCCUAGGAGAUCACUGCCAAGUGCCAAGUGCCAAAUGCGAGCACUGCCUCAUCAUCAAGGUCCCCUCCGUUCAUAUUCAAUUGAACUAAAUUAACAUGAAGCAAAGGCAGCUCAAGGGUCAGCUGGGAGCGUUGUGUGGCCAAGAAAGACCAAACAUUUUUUGGUUAUAUCGUACCGACCCGAAGUGUAAAAACAGUGGCCCAGUCCGGCCCUAAACUACGUCGUACCUUCGUUGGGCCGUGCCGGCUCAAGCCCGGCCCGUAUAUUUGACCAUAUAAAAUCAAAAUAUUAUAACCAUAUAAAGUUCAUAACUUACUAAAUUGAAGAUAUUAAAUAAUUAUAGUAUCAUUUAACCACAUAAACUCCAAAUAUAACAACAAUAUAAAGUCGAUAUCUUACUAAAUUAAAGAAAUUAAACAUAUUGUGCUUAAUUGGGUCGUGCCGGCCCAAGCCCGACCCAUCUAUGCGGGCCGUUCCGGGAACCCGAUAGGUCGGAAUUUGAGGUCCGGCUCAGGCUCGCCUUCAGGUCAUGCUAGCCUGGCUCAUAUUAUUUCAUGUCGGACUGUACUUUAGGCUCUUAUUUUCGGGUCGUGCUUGUGCUGGCCCGAAAAGCCCGGUCUAGAUUCCCAGCACUAGCGGUGAUGGGGUGGGCGGACUACAUGAGGCCCGGGACCGUCUGUGGUUCGACUGGGCCAACUGAGCCCGUCAUGUAAUUCUGAGGCAAAGUAUGGUCAACUGGAUUCUUCUCUUAGAUAAUCACUCCCCAUGUAUUUCUAUUUAUUCAUAUUGUUUCUGUUUACUGGGCAGUUGGCACUGAAUUUCUGUUUACUGGGCAGUUUAGUAAGUUUCAGUUCAUGUAAUUCUGAGGCAAAGUAUGGUCAAAAGUUGGUUCUUUUCCUUCUGUUUAUCUUCUUUCUUCUCUUCUCAAGUUGUUUAUGUUUAUGAGAAAUCACUGUUGAUUGUGUCCUUUGCGUGUAUCCAAGUUGUUUCUGUUUUCCUUUGCGUGUAUCCAAGUUGUUUCUGUUUCUGUUUCCCCAAUCAAGUUGUUUCUGUUUAUGAGAAAUCACUGUUUACAAAGGAUCUGCUGUAAUUUAUUUCAAUUUAUGUUUAUGUAAGUUGCUCCUACUGUACAGAGACCUGAUGGCUAUUAUUCAAAAUCUGUUGUAAUCUAUUUCUACGUGUUGUUUCUGUUUACAAAGGAUCUG